UUCUUCAAACCACUCCACCUCCUGACUCACAGAGCCCCCUUAGACCUGCUGCGUUCUCUGGCGGGCUAACCCUUUCCAAAAUCUCCAGUUAGCGUUUCAGCUCAGAUCCUUCACUUCUUUCUGAAACACUAGUGCCUACCCUUGCCAUGUUUUAUUUUUUUAAUUCCUGGUAUUUCCUUACUAAUAUCAGAAACUCCUUACUGAUUGCAAGACUCUGUGUGGCCUGUCUGCUGACUAGAGUGAAAACUACAGGAGGGCAGAAACUCUGUGUCACACAUGACAGUGGCUCACUUUCCAUCCACACGGAAGGGACCUACUCCACCUUAUCUCAUCAGGGAUGUGUGAAGCAGGAGGAUUCAGAGUUAAAGAGUCCUUUGGCCAAGUUCACAGAGCCAGCAAAUGCUGGGGUGAAAAACAACUGUAGAUGAUUCUGGGAUGAGCACCAGUUCUCCCACCUGGUUUUGAGCCCUGGAUACUCCUGUACUGGGAAGGGAUGGAGCUGUACUCAUGUGCAGGUCAUGUUGUAGGACAGUUAUCUGAAGAUGGAGCAAGGACCCACAUGGGUCCACCUUAAUCACCUGAGCUCAUCUUAGGAAGAGAGAUUUUCUAGCUGGAGUUGGACUCAAAGCACAGUAAAGUUCUCAAGUUCCCUCUCUGGUUUGAAGAUAGGAAAGACUCAAAUGACAAGGAAAGUGAGUGACUUGGAAAGUGGGGGGCAUCCUCCAGUCGACAGCCAGCAGGAAGCAGGGGUCCCAAUCUGAUGUCUGCGAGAGACUGAAUUUUACCAGCAAGAAUGAACUUGGAAAUAGAAUUUUCUCCAGAGCUUCCAGACAGGCCAUCAGCCCAUCAACUUUGAUUUCUACCCUGGAGAGCCUGAUGACCCCCGCUCCCUUUGCUGGGCUUCUGACCUACAGAACUAUCCUAACAAACUAUCCCAUGCUUUUUUAAUCUAUUAAGUCUAUAAAAAUUUGUUACUCACAAAGAGAAAAUUGAUACAAUGCACCUAUGUCUUUUUAAA